CCCUUAGAUGUUCUGGGCUGCACGCGCGCUACACUGAUGCAUGCAACGAGUUUUCGACCUUGCCUGAAAAGGUUGGGUAAUCUGUUUAACAUGUGUCGUGAUGGGGAUAGACCAUUGCAAUUAUUGAUCUUCAACGAGGAAUUCCUAGUAAGCGCGAGUCAUCAGCUCGUGCUGAUUAUGUCCCUGCCCUUUGUACACACCGCCCGUCGCUCCUACCGAUUGGGUGAUCCGGUGAAUGAUUCGGACUCUGGCUAUGCUAGCUACUAGCUACGUCAGGGAAAGUUUUGUGAACCUUAUCACUUGGAGGAAGGAGAAGUCGUAACA
rnacentral:rRNA from 1 species